GGAUCUGAAGGCAAUCUGGCUGCGACAUCUGUCACCCCAUUGAUCGCCAGGGUUGAUUCAACUGAUCUGGCUCCAUGUGUGUCCCUCCUAAAGUUCACACUCGGUUGAAGAGGACGACCAUCCCUGAUAGAGGAGGACCAGUCUUCAGUCAAGGAUAUGAGUAGCUGAGCUUCCCUGCUGGAACCUCCAAAUAAGCUGUCAAUAGAGCAAAGUGUCAUUAGCACCCCUCCUGGAUUA
rnacentral:snRNA from 1 species